GAGCUUAGGUGGGGAUUAGCUAGUUGGNGGGGUAGUGGCUCNCCAAGGCGACGAUCCGUANCUGNUCUGAGAGGAUGAUCAGUCACACUGGAACUGAGACNCGGUCCAGACUCCUACGGGAGCGCAGCAGUGGGGAAUAUUGGACAAUGGGCGAAAGCCUGAUCCAGCCAUGCCGCGUGUGUGAAGAAGGUCUUCGGAUUGUAAAGCACUUUAAGUUGGGAGGAAGGGCAGUAAAUUAAUACUUUGCUGUUUUGACNGGACCGACAGAAUAAGCCCCGCACCCCG
rnacentral:rRNA from 1 species